GUGAUUAUAUCCUAUGCGUGGGCUGACCUGAGAGUUCGCAGGUGGUACAGUUGCAACUGAAUUAUGUUUUGUUCUCAUUUGAUACCUGUAGAUGGGUAAUUUCCACCAGAUGUUAGUGAAUUCUGAUUAGGCGGGACGCCUUGGCUGAUUUCCCCUUCUCUGGAUCAAGGACAUUGAGACCAAUUGUAAUGCCUGAACUGCUACCCAGACUGAUGUCAGCUUAACUUGAACUGAAGCUCUUAAAUUGGCUGGAUUUGUUUUAAUGUUUGAAUCCUUUCUGCAUCCAGUGGGAUCAUCACCUACUUUGACACCCACUUUCAUUUCCCACUCCCGUGUUAAAAUUGACUCUACGUGAAGCGAACAACUUUGGAAUCAGUUAUGUGGAAACCUGAUCAUCAGACUGCCGCACCCCUCAGGAUUCCUUUCAAACAUAGGCAAGUUUGAAAUUGUUUGCAUGUAUAUCUUUUGACCAUCAGCAUAAUGAAGGUCAGAAUGCUUAUGAAGAAAACUGAAAAAGAAAAA